rnacentral:tRNA from 1 species
UGCAUCGGCCGGGAAUUGAACCCUGGCCGCCCGCGUGGCAGGCGAGAAUUCUACCACUGAACCACCGAUGC